rnacentral:rRNA from 1 species
UACGUAGGGGCCAAGCGUUGUCCGGAUUUAUUGGGCGUAAAGAGCUCGUAGGCGGUUGGGUAAGUCGGGUGUGAAAACUCCAGGCUCAACUUGGAGAUGCCACCCGAUACUGCUCUGACUUGAGUUCGGUAGGGGAGUGGGGAAUUCCUGGUGUAGCGGUGAAAUGCGCAGAUAUCAGGAGGAACAUCGGUGGCGAAGGCGCCACUCUGGGCCGAAACUGACGCUGAGGAGCGAAAGCGUGGGUAGCAAACAGG